GUUAUUGUUCAUGUAUUAUUUUUGUCGUCUGUACGACGACUUCAUGCAUAUAGCAUAUAAAUUUAGUUAGACAUUAAGGCAUGAGAAACACGUAACAUAGAAUCCCAGUAAAAACCUUAAAAAUAAUCAAAACAUUUUUUAAGGUAACCACUUUGUAUAAACAAAUGUCCUGGUGGCAAUACAAAAUCUAAAAUCAAACCAACAGGAAACAGGUCACCAAAAGUAUAACACACAUCACUUCCUUUAACUAAUCAGUAUGUUAUCGGUUUCGCUUUCUUUGCAGAACAACGAGUACUAUGGGCAAUAAGCUUAAACACACCUGAAAUAUUUAAACACUAUAAUAGUAAAGCUGCUUAGUUUAAUGCUUACAUUCUUGAUAGUCACAUUGGCUUAUGUAAAUAUAUUCCUUUUAUAGUUUUCGAUGUACAAAUGCAAAAAAAAAAAAACAUUAAUUAAAAAUAAAGUUAAAAAAAAAUAAAAAUAUUUAUUGUAGUACUGAUUAUCAUGAUUGGUGAUGGAAAACCACAAUGUUAUUUUCUGCCUCCCAUAAAAUACAGGCUGUUAGAAAUCCUAGUUUAUCAUUGUAUGUGUGAUCGUUGAAUUCACGUUUUGUGGAACGACAUUAUAUAAAAAAGACUCUGAGGAUGUUCAUGAUAUUGUCUUUUAGUUUGUAGUGAUAGUUUUAGAUAUUUAGUUGAUAUUUGACUGCUUCCUUUAUGCCUUAUUUGCUAUGUUAAAUUUGAGAAUGAAAAUGGGGAAAGUGUCAAAGAGCCAACAACCCGACCAAAGAGCAGAC
rnacentral:lncRNA from 1 species